rnacentral:rRNA from 1 species
CAAUAGCGUAUAUUUAAGUUGCUGCAGUUAAAAAGCUCGUAGUUGGAUUUCGGGUGGGAAUGGCCGGUCCGCCGUUUCGGUGUGCACUUGCUACGCCCACCUUGCUGCCGGGGACGUGCUCUUGAGUUCACGCUCGGGACACGGAGUCGGCGAGGUUACUUUGAGUAAAUUAGAGUGUUCAAAGCAGGCCUACGUUCUGAAUACAUUAGCAUGGAACAACACGAUAGGACUCUGGCCUAUCUUGUUGGUCUGUAGGACCGGAGUAAUGAUUAAGAGGGACAGUCGGGGGCAUUCGUAUUUCAUUGUCAGAGGUGAAAUUCUUGGAUUUAUGAAAGACGAACUACUGCGAAAGCAUUUGCCAAGGAUGUUUCCAUUAA